rnacentral:sRNA from 1 species
AGACGCCAAGCCACAACACAUAGAUACCUAUUUACCACAUUAUUUAAUUGUUGGCGGUUCCUCCACGGAAAAUGGAACAUUUUUUGAUCCCAUCUGAUAAAAGUGCUUCUUCGCCUGCAGACGCCAAUAAGGAAUCUUCAUUUGCUGUUACGGUACACACUGAAAAUAUUGCGCCUCCGAAUAAGCGAA